CGCGCCGCGGCCUAUCAGCUUGUUGGCUGAGGUAAUGGCUCACCAGGCGACGACGGGUAGCCGGCCUGAGAGGGUGACCGGCCACACUGGGACUGAGACACGGCCCAGACUCCUACGGGAGGCAGCAGUGGGGAAUAUUGCACAAUGGGCGAAAGCCUGAUGCAGAGACGCCGCGUGAGGGAUGACGGCCUUCGGGUUGUAAACCUCUUUCAGGCAGGGACGAAGCGAAAGUGACGGUACCUGCAGAAGAAGCACCGGCAACUACGUGCCAGCAGCCGCGGUAAUACGUAGGGUGCAGCGUUGUCCGGAAUUAUUGGGCGUAAAGAGCUCGUAGGCGGUUUGUCGCGUCGGCCGUGAAAACUCAGGGCUCAACCCUGGGCGUGCUUCGAUACGGGCAGACUAGAGUUUUGCAGGGGAGACUGGAAUUCCUGGUGUAGCGGUGGAUGCGCAGAUAUCAGGAGGAACCCCCC
rnacentral:rRNA from 1 species